CAUAAAAUACCGAAAACCGAAUUACCGAACCGAACCGGCUAUUUCGGUAUUUCGGUAUUCGGUAUUCGGUACUUGGGUCCGGUAUUCGGUACCGGAAUAUUAAAUUUCGGUAUUUCGGUUUCGGUUUCGGUAUUUAUUAAUUAUCCCGUUCGGUAUUCGGGAUUUACCGAAUACCGAAUUAUUUCUGUUGGGCUCCUAAAAAUUCCUUUUAAUUUUUAAACAUAAAGGGCUAUAGGCCCAUUCCUAUAAUUUAAUCCAGCCCAAGCCCAAUUGUCUUCAACAUACCCUAACUCCCUAAGUGAAGUCCCUAACAGACUAACACUUAACCUAUUCAGUAUUCAUCUCAAUACUUCACUACUAUUGAAGUUCUGCUUCUGCCAUUCACGCCGCCUUCACUUCAGCCCUUCAACUUCACUACUACAGUUUGCCCCAUGGAAUCCAUCAGAAGUGCUUAUAACUUCAGCUGAUUCUCGUAUCAGAAUUUUUGACGGAUCAGAUAUGAUCUAUAAGUUUAGAGGUAUUUUCUGAUGCUACUGUUUCUGACUUCUGAUUUUGGAGCUGCUUCAGGUGGUGGUGAUGGUGUGUGUAGUGUGCUGCUGCUGCAGGUAGUGUUGCAGCUUAUGUUGUUUGUUGUUGUUGUGUGUUGCAGCUGAAUCAUUUUGUUGUUGUUGUUGCAUGUUGUAUGCUGUUGCAGGUGCUGUUGACUGUUGUGUGUAGUGUUGCAGCUUGUGUCUAGAAUUUGAUAAUAAUUUGACCAUAAUUAACAGACAACUUGGUUGGAACCCAAAGACAUCCCUAUGGGACUUGCUUGAAUCCACACUCACAUACCAACAUAGGACAUAUGCUGAGGCUGUCAAGCAGGCAAUGUCAAAGACAACUGCAAAUUGAAUGAAGUCAGGAACAGAGCUUUACUGUAUGCUUCAUGUUGGCAGGCUUUCAUAUUCUUUUGAAGAAUCUUCAUCUACUCGGUUUGACUUCAUCCACGUUAUUCUUUUUGUCAUCCACUUCAUGCAAAGGUCAUGGCCAUAAACAUCAUGUUUUCGUGUCAUAUGUAGUGUAAUGCCAUUAAAGCCUUAGCUACAACAGUUUUCGACACAUUAGUCAAAGGAAGCCUGCAAUCUGCUCAUAGAAGUUUUGUUGUCAUUAUAUUAUCAUUCUUCGGUAUGGAAGUAUGUUGUAUCAUUCCACUGAGAUUUUCCUAAUCUAUUACUUUAUUUGUUUGAUUAAACUGUCCUUUUACUUUAUUGUCUAUGUUAGAUAAUGUUAAUCUCCCAAGUACUUGUUUUUACAAUAUAUAUGACUUCUCCAAUUUUCUGUA